rnacentral:rRNA from 1 species
CUACGGGAGGCAGCAGUCGGGAAUUUUGGGCAAUGGCCGAAAGGGCUGACCCAGCAACGCCGCGUGAGUGAAGAAGGCCUUCGGGUUGUAAAGCUCUGUUGCUCGUGAAGAACGGUACUUUCAGGAAAUGGGGAGUACUUGACGGUAGCGAGUGAGGAAGCCCCGGCUAACUACGUGCCAGCAGCCGCGGUAAUACGUAGGGGGCGAGCGUUGUCCGGAUUUAUUGGGCGUAAAGGGCGUGUAGGCGGUCUGUUAAGUCGGUGGUGAAACUCCGCAGCUCAACUGCGGACCGGCCUCCGAUACUGGCGGACUUGAGUACUCUAGAGGGCAGUGGAAUUCCCGGUGUAGCAGUGAAAUGCGUAGAGAUCGGGAGGAACACCAGUGGCGAAGGCGGCUGCCUGGGGAGAAACUGACGCUGAGGCGCGAAAGCUGGGGGAGCAAACGGGAUUAGAUACCCCUGUAGUCCC